rnacentral:tRNA from 1 species
GGUGAGAUGGCUCAGUGGUUAAGAGCAUUUGUUACUCUUGCAGAGGACCUGGGUUUAACUCCCAGCACCC